rnacentral:rRNA from 1 species
UACAGAGGGUGCAAGCGUUGUUCGGAAUUAUUGGGCGUAAAGCGCGUGUAGGCGGCUUUGCAAGUCGGGUGUGAAAAGCCCCUCAGCUCAACUGAGGAAGUGCGCCCCGAAACUGCAGAGCUUGAGUACCGGAGAGGGUGGCGGAAUUCCCCAAGUAGAGGUGAAAUUCGUAGAUAUGGGGAGGAACACCGGUGGGCGAAGGCGGCCACCUGGACGGUCACUGACGCUGAGACGCGAAAAGCGUGGGGAGCAAACAGG